GGACGAACGCUGGCGGCGUGCUUAACACAUGCAAGUUGAACGGUCAUACAUGGAAGCUUGCUGAAGUGUAUGGUAGUAGCGGACGGGUGAGUAAUGCAUGAGAAUCUACCUUGAGGAGGGGAACAACAGCUGGAAACGGUUGCUAAUACCCCGUAUGCCGUGAGGUGAAAGGAGCGAUCCGCCUCAAGAGGGGCUCAUGUCCUAUCAGCUAGUUGGUGAGGUAAUGGCUCACCAAGGCGACGACGGGUAGCCGGCCUGAGAGGGCGACCGGCCACACUGGAACUGNNNGACGGUCCAGACUCCUACGGGAGGCAGCAGUGGGGAAUAUUGGGCAAUGGGGGGAACCCUGACCCAGCGACGCCGCGUAAGGGAAGACGGCCUUCGGGUUGUAAACCUUUUUUGUAUGGGAAGAAGGACGUGACGGUACCGUACGAAUAAGUCCCGGCUAACUACGUGCCAGCAGCCGCGGUAAUACGGAGGGUGCAAGCGUUAUUCGGAAUUACUGGGUUUAAAGGGUGCGUAGGCGGUUAAAUAAGUUGUCAGUGAAAGGCUACGGCUCAACUGUAGUAGUGCUGGCGAUACUGUAUAACUAAGGACAUGGGAGGGGUACCUGGAAUGUGUGGUGUAGCGGUGAAAUGCGUAGAUAUCACACAGAACACCGGAGGCAAAGGCGGGGUACUAGACCAUAGUUGACGCUGAGGCACGAAAGCGUGGGGAUCAAACAGGAUUAGAUACCCUGGUAGUCCACGCCCUAAACGAUGAUCACUAGAUAUUGGCGACAGACAGUCAGUGUCCAAGCGAAAGUGAUAAGUGAUCCACCUGGGGAAUACGGCCGCAAGGUUAAAACUCAAAGGAAUUGACGGGGGCCCGCACAAGCGGAGGAGCAUGUGGUUUAAUUCGAUGGUACGCGAGGAACCUUACCUGGGUUAGAACGUAUGAUAGAUGUAGCUGAAAGGUUACAGACCUGCGAGGGAUAUCAUACGAGGUGCUGCAUGGUUGUCGUCAGCUCGUGCCGUGAGGUGUUUGGUUAAGUCCAGCAACGAGCGCAACCCCUACCUUUAGUUGCCAGCAGGUAAAGCUGGGGACACUAGAGGGACUGCCUGCGCAAGCAGAGAGGAAGGUGGGGAUGACGUCAAAUCAGCACGGCCCUUAUGUCCAGGGCUACACACGUGCUACAAUGGUAACUACAGAGGGCAGCGACUAGGCGACUAGGAGCGAAUCUCGAAAAGUUAUCUCAGUUCGGAUUGGAGUCUGCAACUCGACUCCAUGAAGGUGGAUUCGCUAGUAAUCGCGCAUCAGCAAUGGCGCGGUGAAUACGUUCCCGGGCCU
rnacentral:rRNA from 1 species